GACAGAGGUGCCGAGCGUUAGGCGGAAUCACUGGGCUUAAAGCGUGUGUAGGCGGACCGUUAAGUACCUCGUGAAAUCCCACGGCUCAACCGUGGAACGGCUGGGUAUACUGGCGGUCUUGGGCCACCUAGGGGCAACCGGAACAAGCGGUGGAGCGGUGAAAUGCGUAGAUAUCGCUUGGAACGCCGACGGUGAAAACAGGUUGCUGGGGGUGUGCCGACGCUGAGACACGAAAGCCAGGGGAGCGAACGGG
rnacentral:rRNA from 1 species